AGUCAAUUGCUACCACCACCAAAGAGGUAUCCCAGAGAAGAUCCACCACCAGGAGCAGCAUGGACCUUGGUUGAAGGUCGAUCCUGAACCAAGAAACAAAGUUCUUAGGUUGAUAAAAACAACUUCAAGAAACAACCAUUUGUCUCUCACAAAACACAAUUAAGCAGGUUAUCUUAAAACAAUUAAACAAGUUGCUUAUUGGCUGUUUAAAGCAACUUCCAGAAACAGUUUAUAGAGCACUGUGAAUGAUUUAGAAAUAGCAUUCGUGUAGUUCCCAGUCCGCCGUCUUUCAACUUUCAUAAUGUAUCUAUUGAACCUUGUUCAGAUGAAACCAUGAGAAUACUGUGCUGACAUCGCUUGGAAACAUGUAAAUUGAGAAUACAGAAUGCCAAGAGCAUAAUUGAAAGUAGUUCCAGCCCAUCUCCUUGGCUCUAGGAAUUUACCCCCACACCUCAAAACAAAUGGCUAACUGGCACUAUACGAUCCAUCUAGCUGCUUCUUGGGCCCACAUUUCACAGCGACAGCUUGCAUGAGAGAGUUCCCAAGCCUAGUCCAUCAUACACCAUGAGCAGUAUCUAGUUACCCAUCAUACCAUAACCCAUGUACUUCAGGGAGAUGUUGAGACACACAGCUGCUUUCAUAAGCCUGAAUUCGCCCAGGGCUAAGAUUAGGAGCCAUAUCUCCAAUCACUGGAGAGGUACUCCGACUCCCAGAGGCAUCUGAAGAACGCUAGAAACCACAAAAAUUUCACCCUAUUGGAAUGAGACCCAGAACCCUAAAACAACCAAUGGCACUUCAUACUUCUUAGGCAGCAAAAAUGCAGUUUGAUAGUUACAAAGAUAAUGGCAUUCUUCCAUAUGUAUUUAUGCACAUCCCUCUGCCACACAGUUCGUAAUCACUCACAAGAUAAUGCAUAUCCAUUUCCAAAAGACAAGUGAAUCUUAUAAAGAACUAAUCAGGCAUGCUAAUUUGUCACAGAGAAGAACUGUGGCAUGUCGUGAAUCUGAGCAAGUUGUAUCCGCCUAAAAUCAGCAUGGACAAUUGAUAAAAACUGCUCCAAGAGCAAAGGUUUCCGGAAUCAUACCGUGAUGAAGUUGCCAGCGUUCUGACCAUCUGCCCUCAAAUAGUUGUUUGUGGAAGUACUGUUGAUACCGGCAGGAAACUCCCUGUUAAUUUCAGCUGGCUGAGGGGCUGCAGCAGGUUUAGGAGGAGGUGGAUUGCUUGCAGGCUGGACCUCGCUUGGAGCAGCUUGGGCAUUGUUUGUGCUAGGUUUUGGAGCCUCUCCACUC
rnacentral:lncRNA from 1 species